rnacentral:rRNA from 1 species
UACGAAGGGGGCUAGCGUUGUUCGGAAUUACUGGGCGUAAAGCGUGCGCAGGCGGCUUCUCAAGUCAGGGGUGAAAGCCCCAGAGCUCAACUCUGGAAUUGCCUUUGAGACUGAGUGGCUUGAGUACGAGAGAGGUGAGUGGAAUUCCCAGUGUAGAGGUGAAAUUCGUAGAUAUUGGGAAGAACACCGGUGGCGAAGGCGGGUCUCUGGGCCGUAACUGACGCUGAGGAGCGAAAGCGUGGGGAGCGAACAGG